rnacentral:rRNA from 1 species
AGCGAACGCUGGCGGUAGGCCUAACACAUGCAAGUCGAACGGCAGCACAGUAAGAGCUUGCUCUUACGGGUGGCGAGUGGCGGACGGGUGAGGAAUACAUCGGAAUCUACUUUUUCGUGGGGGAUAACGUAGGGAAACUUACGCUAAUACCGCAUACGCCCUACGGGUGAAAGCAGGGGAUCUUCGGACCUUGCGCGAUUGAAUGAGCCGAUGUCGGAUUAGCUAGUUGGCGGGGUAAAGGCCAACCAAGGCGACGAUCCGUAGCUGGUCUGAGAGGAUGAUCAGCCACACUGGAACUGAGACACGGUCCAGACUCCUACGGGAGGCAGCAGUGGGGAAUAUUGGACAAUAGGCGCAAGCCUGAUCCAGCCAUACCGCGUGGGUGAAGAAGGCCUUCGGGUUGUAAAGCCCUUUUGUUGGGAAAGAAAAGCAGCAGGUUAAUACCCCGCUGUUCUGACGGUACCCAAAGAAUAAGCACCGGCUAACUUCGUG